GGAGCGGUGUCCGAGUGGUUUAAGGAGGCGGUCUUGAAAACCGUUGAGCCGAAAGGUUCCGGGGGUUCGAAUCCCCCCUGCUCCG
rnacentral:tRNA from 1 species